AAUUAAUGAUCAACUAUUAUUUUUGCAGUCUCUUUGCAUCAUUGAUAACAUCUUCAACCAUAUGGGUAGCCCACUCCUCCUUCACCUCAUCUAGCUUCUCUUUAGAGUAUGUAGAAUGUCUAUGGCGAGAAAAAUACUUCAAAUAUAAAAGUAACACAAAAUUGAGUCAGAAUUGAAUUACACUACAUUUUAUAUACCUAGCUAUAUGUAAAAAUAUGAAAUAAUAAUAAUAAUAAUUAAAAUAACGUACAUUAUCAGGAAUCUUAUUUGGAUAUUCCAUGAUAACUUCUUUCAUAAAUCUCAUGAUAAAAUAUCCGCAGUCAAUAGUAUUUCUUUGACGAGGACACCGUAAAAAAACACAUUUGCAAAGAUCAAUUUUAAUUUACACUACAUAACUAUUAUUUACAGUUUGUUAACUGAACCAUGUACUUAAAUUCACCCGUUAACCAAACUGCACCAUGGUUAUUUGUUACUCACAAAUUUUGCAGCACUCACCAUCAACCCCUUCCCCAAUACAACGAAAGUAAUAAACCACCCUCACUCACAGGUAUGUGGCUCACUCAUGGAAUCACGAAACAAUCCACUCUUACGGGCCUAUUUCAUCGAUUCAUUAAAAAAAUUUAACCCCACCCAAUAAUACACUUAACCAAAAUAAAAUAAAAAAUAAUAAUAAAAUAAUAGCUUCUCAAGCUAUGGCGGCGAGGCAGAGUAUUUGUUUUCCUUUUAUCAUCAAAGACCAGCUUCAGUUUAUCAAAAAAAAUAUUAAAAAAUCAAAGACCAGAUUCAUAUACAUGAGGUGUAGGGUACUGUAUUUGUUUUCGCUGAAACAAGGACCACUUUUACUUUUUAUAUUCGUUAAGUAAUGGUUCUGUUUGGUUAUUUUUAAUCUACAACUGGUUCAACAGUUUUUUCAACAGUUUAAAAAACUGUUCGGUUCAGUUCAAAUUAAAUGGUUGAUGGUUCAGUUCGGUUUUAAAGAAUUGAAAUACAGUUUGGUUCGGUUCACAUACAGUUUUGGUUAAAAACCAAACUUUGGCCANNNNNNNNNNNNNNNNNNNNNNNNNNNNNNNNNNNNNNNNNNUAUUUGAAUUAAUACUAUUCAAACUUUCCUGACUUUAUUCUAAUUCAUUGUUAGUUCAUACUUCAAUGACACUUAGGUGGGGUCUAGAGUGGGAUAAAGAUCAAAGGUAUGGUAAGCUUAUUUUUGAGUUGGAUGCUGGACUUGUUGUGAACAGCCUCCAUGGAAGAUUAAAUUUAGUUGAAUUAGAUCAUGUAAUUCAAGACUGUUUGGAUUUGUUGUCUAAAUCCAACUUCUAGAAUAUAUAUUUACUACUAUAAGGCAUCUAAUUUCAAUCAUAUACUAGUGUGGUUCAUCUUAGGAGAACUAUGAAUGCUGCUGCAC
rnacentral:lncRNA from 1 species